rnacentral:rRNA from 1 species
GCUUGUCUCAAAGAUUAAGCCAUGCAUGUCUAAGUAUAAACAUCUUUAUACUGUGAAACUGCGUACAGCUCAUUAUAUCAGUAAUUAUUUAUUUGAUGGUCACUUACUACAUGGAUAACCGUAGUAAUUCUAGAGCUAAUACAUGCUGUAAGCCUGACUUUAUGGGAAGGUUGUAUUUAUUAGAUCCCAAACCGAUAGCUUCGGCUAUUGUGACGAAUCAUAAUAACUUGUCGGAUCGGGUAUUACUCGAUGGAUCAUUCAAGUUUCUGCCCUAUCAGCUUUCGAUGGUAGUGUAUUGGACUACCAUGGCGAUAACGGGUAACGGGGAAUUAGGGUUCGAUUCCGGAGAGGGAGCCUGAGAAACGGCUACCACUUCUAAGGAAGGCAGCAGG